UACGUAGGGAGCAAGCGUUAUCCGGAUUUACUGGGUGUAAAGGGCGUGUAGGCGGGCCUGCAAGUCAGAAGUGAAAUCUGGGGGCUUAACCCCCAAACUGCUUUUGAAACUGUGGGUCUUGAGUGAUGGAGAGGCAGGCGGAAUUCCCAGUGUAGCGGUGGAAUGCGUAGAUAUUGGGAGGAACACCAGUGGCGAAGGCGGCCUGCUGGACAUUAACUGACGCUGAGGCGCGAAAGCGUGGGGAGCAAACAGG
rnacentral:rRNA from 1 species